rnacentral:rRNA from 1 species
GAUCAUGGCUCAGGAUGAACGCUAGCUACAGGCUUAACACAUGCAAGUCGAGGGGAAACGACAUCGAAAGCUUGCUUUGAUGGGCGUCGACCGGCGCACGGGUGAGUAACGCGUAUCCAACCUGCCCACCACUUGGGGAUAACCUUGCGAAAGUAAGACUAAUACCCAAUGAUAUCCCACGAAGGCAUCCGAAUGGGAUUAAAGAUUUAUCGGUGAUGGAUGGGGAUGCGUCUGAUUAGCUUGUUGGCGGGGUAACGGCCCACCAAGGCUACGAUCAGUAGGGGUUCUGAGAGGAAGGUCCCCCACAUUGGAACUGAGACACGGUCCAAACUCCUACGGGAGGCAGCAGUGAGGAAUAUUGGUCAAUGGGCGAGAGCCUGAACCAGCCAAGUAGCGUGCAGGAAGACGGCCCUAUGGGUUGUAAACUGCUUUUAUAGGGGAAUAAAGUGAGCCACGUGUGGUUUUUUGCAUGUACCCUAUGAAUAAGGACCGGCUAAUUCCGUG